rnacentral:tRNA from 1 species
GACUUCUUAGUAUAGUUUUAGUAUGUUUGAUUUCCAAUCUUGCGGUUUAUGGGGUUG